AUACGUAGGUGGCAAGCGUUAUCCGGAAUUAUUGGGCGUAAAGGGUGCGUAGGCGGCUGGAUAAGUCUGAGGUAAAAGCCCGUGGCUCAACCACGGUAAGCCUUGGAAACUGUCUGGCUGGAGUGCAGGAGAGGACAAUGGAAUUCCAUGUGUAGCGGUAAAAUGCGUAGAUAUAUGGAGGAACACCAGUGGCGAAGGCGGUUGUCUGGCCUGUAACUGACGCUGAAGCACGAAAGCGUGGGGAGCAAAUAGGAUUAGAUACCCUGGUAGUCCACGCAGUAAACGAUGAUGACUAACCGUCGGUCAAGACUGAUCGGUGGCCAAGCGAAAGCGAUAAGUCAUCCACCUGGGGAGUACGACCGCAAGGUUGAAACUCAAAUGAAUUGACGGGG
rnacentral:rRNA from 1 species